ACAUCCAGAGAAUUUAGCAGAGAUGCUUUAGUGCCUUCGGGAACUCUGAGACAGGUGCUGCAUGGCUGUCGUCAGCUCGUGUUGUGAAAUGUUGGGUUAAGUCCCGNAACGAGCGCAACCCUUAUCCUUUGUUGCCAGCACGUAAUGGUGGGAGCUCAAAGGAGACUGCCGGUGAUAAACCGGAGGAAGGUGGGGACGACGUCAAGUCAUCAUGGCCCUUACGAGUAGGGCUACACACGUGCUACAAUGGCGCAUACAAAGAGAAGCGACCUCGCGAGAGCAAGCGGACCUCAUAAAGUGCGUCGUAGUCCGGAUUGGAGUCUGCAACUCGACUCCAUGAAGUCGGAAUCGCUAGUAAUCGUAAAUCAGAAUGUUACGGUGAAUACGUUCCCGGGCCUUGUACACACCGCCCGUCACACCAUGGGAGUGGGUUGCAAAAGAAGUAGAUAGCUUAACCUUCGGGAGGGCGUUUACCACUUUGUGAUUCAUGACUGGGGUGAAGUCGUAACAAGGUAAGCGUAGUGCU
rnacentral:rRNA from 1 species